ACUCCUACGGGAGGCAGCAGUGGGGAAUAUUGCACAAUGGGGGAAACCCUGAUGCAGCCAUGCCGCGUGUGUGAAGAAGGCCUUCGGGUUGUAAAGCACUUUCAGUAGGGAGGAAGGUAGUGCAGUUAACACCUGCAUUAUUUGACGUUACCUACAGAAGAAGCACCGGCUAACUCCGUGCCAGCAGCCGCGGUAAUACGGAGGGUGCGAGCGUUAAUCGGAAUUACUGGGCGUAAAGCGCAUGCAGGCGGCCUGUUAAGUCAGAUGUGAAAGCCCGGGGCUUAACCUCGGAAUUGCAUUUGAACUGGCAGGCUAGGAGUCUUGUAGAGGGGGGUAGAAUUUCAGGUGUAGCGGUGAAAUGCGUAGAGAUCUGAAGGAUACCAGUGGCGAAGGCGGCCCCCUGGACAAAGACUGAC
rnacentral:rRNA from 1 species